CAGCUUCCUGAAUCCAACGAUACCAGAUAUGUGAACAUCGGACCUCCGCUUCAAAAGAUACGGCCAGACUGUUGUAAGGUCACAUUGGAUUUGAAAGCAACAUCCUUUCUUCCAUACAUCCGCGCUACCUGAAAGACGACAGCUUCCUGAAUCCAACGAUACCAGUUAUGUGCACAUCGGACCUCCGCUUCAAAAGAUAUGGCCAGAUACUACAAAAAUACUACAUUUGAAAAAGGAUUCUUGAAAGUGCAGUACCUUUGUGUGACCACAAGAUGUAGGUGUCACAUCACCUAUGAACCUACCCUAUGUUAAAAUCAUACACACUUGUAAAGACUGUUGUACGGUCACAUUGGAUUUGAAAGCAACAUCCUUUCUUCCAUACAUCCACGCUACCUGAAAGACGACAGCUUCCUGAAUCCAACGAUACCAGUUAUGUGAACAUCGGACCUCCGCUUCAAAAGAUACGGCCAGGUAAGCUUUGGCCAAUCAGAUCGCAUAUGCUAAUGAGGGUGGAAUUAAUGAGGGUGAAACUCGUUUUUAUCUAUAUACCUAGUUGCAAUUAACCCCAGACUAGCCCCUAACCCUAACCAUAAACUGCUAGCCCUAGCCUCACUAACCACUAGC
rnacentral:lncRNA from 1 species